rnacentral:rRNA from 1 species
GGACUACAGGGGUAUCUAAUCCUGUUUGCUACCCAUGCUUUCGUGCCUCAGCGUCAGUAUGAGUCCAGGAAGCCGCCUUCGCCACUGAUGUUCUUUCCGAUAUCUACGCAUUUCACCGCUACACCGGAAAUUCCACUUCCCUCUACUCUACUCUAGUCAUUCAGUCUUAAAUGCAAUUCCCAGGUUAAGCCCGGGGAUUUCACAUCUAACUUAAACAACCGCCUACGCACCCUUUACGCCCAGUAAUUCCGAUUAACGCUCGCGCCCUCUGUAUUACCGCGGCUGCUGGCAC